GCGAGGGCCGGGCCGCCGCGGAGCUGGGGGUGGGGGCAGCGCGGCCGCCCCGCCCUGACGCCCUGACGCCAGUUGCCACGGGCGGUCCCCGGAGCCCGACUGCCUUCCCGUCACCUGGAAACACGCGGCUGACCCGGUGACCCCGGUGACCCCGGUGACCCCGGCGACCCCGCAAGCUGUAACGGCCGCGCCCCCCAAGCGUCCGUCGCGGGGCCCUGCGCUCGCGCUCCUGCCCCUGCCCAGUAUCCGGGGCUGUGUGGGGAGGAGCCGGCGCCCCACUGCGUGACCUGGUGUCCGCCCACGCGACGGCGCAGCCUGAGUGCGCGUGUGUGACCGUGAGCGUGUGAGUCCGCGCAAUGGGAGUAUGGGCGUGGGCGUGUGUGCGUGGCCCAGCGCUGCCCUCCCCGCUCGGCCCCCUUUGCCCCUGCCUGGAGGUGUCUGGGGUGAGAGGCGGGCCCAGGGGUCCCUGGACUCAUCCUUGGACAGGGUGAGCCUGUGGGACUCCGCCUCUUGCUGGUCCCCAGACAAGGAGACUGACGCCAGGGUCCCCUCCCCGCAGGCGCUUCCAGAUGCUUCCAGAGAUGCUCUUCCAACUCCCUCUCUUUCGUUCCAGAGUGAAGGGCACCAAAGCCUCCUCUCCGGGCCUCGUGGCUUUGAGGACUUCCUUCUGGAUUCCCAUGACUUUCCUUACAUAGGACACACAGGCCAAGAGGCUUUUGUUUAG
rnacentral:lncRNA from 1 species